UACGGAGGGGGCUAGCGUUGUUCGGAAUUACUGGGCGUAAAGCGCGCGUAGGCGGACCUGCAAGUCGGGGGUGAAAGCCCGAGGCUCAACCUCGGAACUGCCUUCGAUACUGCGGGUCUCGAGUCCGGGAGAGGUGAGUGGAACUCCGAGUGUAGAGGUGAAAUUCGUAGAUAUUCGGAAGAACACCAGUGGCGAAGGCGGCUCACUGGCCCGGUACUGACGCUGAGGCGCGAAAGCGUGGGGAGCAAACAGG
rnacentral:rRNA from 1 species